AUAUGGGCCAGUUAUUGGGCCUUUUAAAAUUGUAGAUUACAUUUUCGUUAACUUGGUCAUGUUCGAAAAACUCGGAGUCCUCACGUCAGCGCCGGCGAAAUUCCGGUACUGCUCCGUCUUCUACGUGUAUUGAAGGAAAGUGUGACUGAGAUUGAAGAGUAUUGAUGGGGUCAGAAUUGUGGUAUACAUACAAGUAGAUGAAAAAUGGACCCAAGAGCUAAUCAAUGAGACAUCAAUGACAACAAAAAACCAGCACAAAGAAAAGAAAGCUUGAGGAAAGGCUUGGCUCGAGGAAAACAAUUUCAGAGCAAAACCCAAAAAAAUGAAAAGAAAAGACUCUCAAAGUUUAAGGGACAAGUCAAGGUUCUUCUGCUUCUCUUCUUCAGCUGGCUUCAACAAUUCCUCGCCUCUCUGCCAUAGUUCAGAAGUUGGAAACUCUACUGGAAUCCUUCCUACAUCGAACCUACCGAUGUUUUCACAUGUGGAAGUCAACGGUGGAGCAAUCAUCAUCUGAUGAUGAUUAUAAUGAUUCUCUGUUGAAGUUAGUUUUGCUAUUGCUGGUUGCUGAACUAGUGGUAUCCUUGACCAGUUGAUCUGACCAUACUCACCACCGUAAACGUUAUAUGAACUUGGCUUAUGACUCAUUGAGUGUGCCUGAAUACCCAAGGUUCUGUUGCUGUACUGUCCAUGGAACGGGACCGGAGCAAAACCAUAUGGAUGCCCGAAAGCUGCGGCAGAUGCCAUCCGUUGCCCUCGCUUUGCCAAAGUCCUUUCUCUUUUGUGGGCGUUUUGGUGACCACCAAGCGCCUGUGAGCUGUAGAAUGUUCUUUGACAGUAGUUGCAUGAGAAGAGCUUCUGUUCAGUGGAAGUUGACCCGUUAAAACUCGGAGUGACUACACCUGUCUCUAAGCAGUCGAGGAGAUUGAGUUCUUGAUUGAGCUGUGGUUGACUAGAAUCAUAUCCUGCUAGCAUAAGGUCAAGCUUUAUACCUUCCACUCCUUCUUUUUGGUCAUGAUCAUCUUCUUCUUGUGCUGCUACUGUGUCUAUGUUGUAAUUUUCUAGGCUCAGCUUUGGGGAAUCUGAAAAUUGAAGACUGGUGGAUGCAGAAAUGAUGCAUGAGGAAUCAGAUGAUCUUGGUUUUCCGCUGGAAGAAUCCAUGAGGGGCAAAGAGGGUAUAUAAUUUUCCAGAAGUGGGAGCAGAAGUUGAUGCUAUAUAAGGAAAGUAUAGACUCAGUACAAAUGCUUUUGGAGUUUGUAAUAAGUGGAGAAAAGUAGUAAGAAGAUGAGAGAGAUAGAGAAAGAGAGAUGGGUAGGUCUUGUUUGCUGACACACCACACACACACACACACAAAGACACAACAAAACACUUGAAGCUGAUUGGAACUCCACCAAUUAAUACCUGUGUUUAUCCCUUUGUAGGAGCAACUUUCACUUCACAUCAACCUUUUUUUGGGCUGCUUUCUCCUUCAAUACACCAAUCUCUAUUCCCUAUCAUGCAUAAUCUUCUUUAACUUUUUUUUUCCUGUUCUCUCAGUCUAUUGCCUUUAUGUGCUUAAAAGUUCUUCAACAAACAAGUAUACAUGUCAUUUCUUUUUCUUAUACCCAGGUUGAUGCCAAUGACAUGUAGAGUUGGGCUUAAUUCAAGAAAGCCAUCCCAAUGAAUAUUUACUUUUUGUCUUGGACUCCUGAUUCUAAUAGGCCCCAACUCGUCUUCAUUUGGUAUAGUUUUGUAUGCAGCCGCGGAUAUGUACUCUUUUGUAUGAGGAAAAAAGGAUUUGGAGGGGGGAACAAGACAAAAGAAAGCUUGGCAGUUCAAAAGAUCUUCUGAAACUGGGACCGGUUUUAUUUGUUUGGAUGAAACGACAACUUGUUGUAAUAUUCACGGAGUAGAUGAAGAUGACAACAAGUGACAAUGAAAUUGAAAAGGAUGCUCAAUGACAAGAGAGAGAGAUAAGGAGAGAGUGGACCAAGUGAAACUAUUCAGGUAUGUUUGAUGUUUUUGUGUACUUUUGAAACUUCGAGAUGAAAGUGGUCAUCUCUGUUUCCUUUUAGCUUUCCACUGUUUAACUCUCUUUUGUCCUCUUUUCACUUCUUCCUUUUGAAGUUUGCUUCACAUUCACACUCUCCUUCAUCUUUAUAUCCAUUGGAAUCCUUAAUAGUUUGCCGGAUUUUAUGGUUGAAAGGUACGAAACUCCCUUAGGACACAUUCUACUUCACAG
rnacentral:lncRNA from 1 species